rnacentral:rRNA from 1 species
GACGAACCGUGCGAACGUUGUUCGGAAUCACUGGGCUUAAAGGGCGCGUAGGCGGGCCUCCUUGUCCGGGGUGAAACCUUUCGGCUCAACCGGAAACGUGCCUCGGAAACGGGGGGCCUCGAGGGAGGUAGGGGCGGCCGGGAACUUCCGGUGGAGCGGUGAAAUGCGUUGAUAUCGGAAGGAACGCCGGUGGCGAAGGCGGCUCACGUGGUCCGGUACUGACGCUGAGGUGCGAAAGCGUGGGG